GUGGGGAAUCUUGCGCAAUGGGCGAAAGCCUGACGCAGCCAUGCCGCGUGAAUGAUGAAGGUCUUAGGAUUGUAAAAUUCUUUCACCGGGGACGAUAAUGACGGUACCCGGAGAAGAAGCUCCGGCUAACUUCGUGCCAGCAGCCGCGGUAAUACGAAGGGGGCUAGCGUUGCUCGGAAUUACUGGGCGUAAAGGGCGCGUAGGCGGACAGCUUAGUCAGAGGUGAAAGCCCAGGGCUCAACCUUGGAAUUGCCUUUGAUACUGGCUGUCUUGAGUUUGGGAGAAGUGAGUGGAACUCCGAGUGUAGAGGUGAAAUUCGUAGAUAUUCGGAAGAACUCCAGUGGCGAAGGCGACUCACUGGCCCGUUACUGACGCUGAGGCGCGAAAGCGUGGGGAGCAAACAGGAUUAGAUACCCGGGUAGUCC
rnacentral:rRNA from 1 species